AUACCGGAUAAGCCCCUUACGGGGGAAAGAUUUAUCGCCGAAGGAUUGGCCCGCGUCCGAUUAGCUAGUUGGUGAGGUAAUGGCUCACCAAGGCGACGAUCGGUAGCUGGUCUGAGAGGAUGAUCAGCCACACUGGGACUGAGACACGGCCCAGACUCCUACGGGAGGCAGCAGUGGGGAAUAUUGGACAAUGGGGGCAACCCUGAUCCAGCCAUGCCGCGUGAGUGAUGAAGGCCCUAGGGUUGUAAAGCUCUUUCGACGGGGACGAUAAUGACGGUACCCGUAGAAGAAGCCCCGGCUAACUUCGUGCCAGCAGCCGCGGUAAUACGAAGGGGGCUAGCGUUGCUCGGAAUCACUGGGCGUAAAGCGCACGUAGGCGGAUCUUUAAGUCAGGGGUGAAAUCCCAAGGCUCAACCUUGGAACUGCCUUUGAUACUGGGGAUCUCGAGUCCGGAAGAGGUGAGUGGAACUGCGAGUGUA
rnacentral:rRNA from 1 species